AUUGAACGCUGGCGGCAUGCUUUACACAUGCAAGUCGAACGGUAACAGGCCGCAAGGUGCUGACGAGUGGCGGACGGGUGAGUAAUGCAUCGGAACGUGCCCAGUCGUGGGGGAUAACGCAGCGAAAGCUGCGCUAAUACCGCAUACGAUCUAUGGAUGAAAGCGGGGGACCGUAAGGCCUCGCGCGAUUGGAGCGGCCGAUGUCAGAUUAGGUAGUUGGUGGGGUAAAGGCCCACCAAGCCAACGAUCUGUAGCUGGUCUGAGAGGACGACCAGCCACACUGGGACUGAGACACGGCCCAGACUCCUACGGGAGGCAGCAGUGGGGAAUUUUGGACAAUGGGCGCAAGCCUGAUCCAGCAAUGCCGCGUGCAGGAAGAAGGCCUUCGGGUUGUAAACUGCUUUUGUACGGAACGAAACGGUCCUGGUUAAUACCUGGGGCUAAUGACGGUACCGUAAGAAUAAGCACCGGCUAACUACGUGCCAGCCGCCGCCGUAACAC
rnacentral:rRNA from 1 species